GGCUGGACUAGUGCAGUGGUGUUUACAACUAAUUGAUCACAACCAGUUACAGUUUCAUUUGUUUCUUCUUCACUCCCACUGCUUCGCUUGAGCAGCUUUAA
rnacentral:Y_RNA from 1 species